AAUCAAUUCAUUUUUUAUAAUAAAUUCCUCUUUUUAUCAUCAGUUUUUUUCAUCCAUUUCAAAAUAUAGAAUUCUUCUCUUCUUCGUUUCUUUAUCAACGCUUUAUUCAAGGCAUGGCAUGGAAGGAGAAAAGCCAUAGACUAUUUAUGGAACAUGGGAGAGUAAUUUUGAUGAGUUGUCUAACUACAUUGCAGCUUUGCAAGCUUCGAAUCCUGAUACAGUUGUGAAGUGGUUUCAUAAGCCAAAUGACUCCUCAAAUGUUGCAACAUUCAAGGUUCAUAUACGGGGAAAUUUCUUGUUGCUGUCACAAAAGAUGCUAACAAUAAUAUAUUACAUGUUGCAUAUGUUAUUGUCGAUGAAGAGUCAUCACACAGUUGGUGUGCUUUCGGAUAGGCACCAAGUAAUAAUCCAUGUAAUGGAAAAUCUACACUGAAAAGGAAGUUUGUUACAAUUAUGAGAGAAGUCAAAAAACUCAAACUUGAAGCUUAGCAGUAUUUAAAACAAAUCAAUAAAAUUCAGUGGUGUCUUUUAUAUGAUGAAAAUCGUAGAUGGGUAUCUUGACAAAAAAUAUCUUUGAGAGUAUGAACAAUGCGUUGUGGGGAGCAAGACAUCUACCGAUUAGGGCGUGUAUUGACCUUAGAUUCAACAGAACAGUGUAACUUUUUAGAAAGCAUAGUAAUGUUGCAAUAAAUUGCAAUACACCUCUACCAUCACGUAUGUGGUGUCUAUUUUGUAACCGAGACACUCGUGCACAAAGCCAUAAUUUAACUGAGUUUGAUUACAAUGAAGGCGUCUACUAAAUUGUUACAAAGUUAUGGAUAAAUGGCACCAGAGAAAAUACACAUAUUGUCCAUUAUUUUCAACAAACAUGCACAUGUGGAAAAUGGCAAAUGGAAAGAUUCACGUGUUCUCAUGCUCUUUCAGUUUGUCGGUAUAGAGGGGAUAACCCUCUUUCUGUUGUGAAUAAUGUGUACACUACAAUGACGUAUAAACAUCAAAAUAAUGCUCCUUUUGUACCGCUUUCUCAUGUUGAUUAUUGAUUAGAGUCAGAUUGGAAGAUUCAAGAAGAUUACUCGAAACUCUAUGUUCAUCAAGAUCGGAGACGAUCAAACCGUUUUCGUAAUAAGAUGGACAUUCGCCACCCCGACGAACCUCGCAAAUGUGGACUAUGCCACUAACCUGGUCAUAAUCGAAGAAAUUGUUCAAAUUCUCUACCAAGAUACAAUUCCAUGUGAAGUAUGUACUUUUAUUAAUUUAUGCUUAAAUGUGUGCUUAAUUUGCAUUGUUGUUUAAUGCUUAUUUAGUAAUGUAAUGUCAUAU